UGAAGAUGUAGAUUAAAAAGAAAAGUACUUCUAAAAAGUGAUUAUUUUACGCUGUAUUAUUAAUCAAAACAAACAAUCUGUUUUUUUCAACAAAAUACGAAAAGAUUUUUUUUAUUAUGAGUAAGUGAAGUCAAUGCCGGCCAAGAAAAAUGCCUAGCCAAUCCAGAAUGACAUAGCGGCGUGCGACGAGGUGCCAUUUGAUCCUGCUAGAACAGAAUAUGAGCGCGUUUUAGACUUAUUUGUGCGCAAGAGCUGUUCAACCACUAAAAUGAACUUCUGUGCCCCUUUUUUACGCAUUACAUUUUGUACCAUUGAAACCGCUGGCGGCGAGGCUACGCACUCGGCCAGAUGAGUGCGUUCCGUGAAUGCACUUCGACCGGAGUGACACUCUCCCUCACCUGGAGAGGAACGGCCUGGCUGCCACCGCUUUUUCUUGGACAGAACCAGCAGCACGACGGAACCAAGCACUGUGGCCGAGCCAGCCACCAACACUACGGCCAGGGGCCACGCCUUGUCUCCUUCGCCACCUGCAUGACCGGCCCAGAACCGAGACGUGUCUUCUGACUGCCCGACCCAUUACUCACGCCACAGAAUUGGUGACCUUGGGAGGAUCAACUACAAGUCUGAGCUGCCCGCCGAUCGACCAGCAUGCAAGCUUUCUUCAGUAGCCUUACAUCUGCACAAGUUCUGGCCCUCCGACACACACCUCUGGCUGGCCCAGGUGAACAGCCAGUUUGCUGUUGCAAGGAUCUCAUCACAGACACAAAGUUUUAUUGUGUUGUUUCUGACCUGCCACCCGAGAUCGCAAUCGAGGUACGAGAUCCAAUUCUCAUGCCUACCUAGUCGAACCCGUAUGACACACUUAUGGCUGAGCUUCUGAGACGCACAUCCCUUUCUGACCAGUGCCAACUGCAACAACUUAUCUUGGCAAAAGAACUUGGUGACCACAAACCUUUCCAACUCCUGCGUCACCUUCAACAACUUCUUGGAGACAAGAUAGCUACUUUCGACCACGACCUCCUCCGUGAACUGUUCCUGCAUCUAGUGUUUGCAAGGUGCCCGUGUCCACUACCGAGUUAUCACAGGAUCAGCUUGCCCAACUGCAUCAUGGAAAUAAAUUGCUCGAAGAUCGGCUCCAUGGAUACCUCGUCAUCGCACCCCGACCCAUCGUCUCUCCUAGUUUCAUCGGCUGUACAGAGUAUCCGUGACGAGAAGUUCCAUCAAGAAAUCAGAAAACUGUCUGCUCGGCUAGCGGCCCUCAGCACUGCUCCACGUCUCGCCACAACGUGCUGGUAUCAGCGAGGCCACCUGCGAGUGUACAGUCCCUUGCUCCUUCCAGGGAAACAGCCCGGCUCACCAUUAGCAGUGACAAAGCUUGAAAUACAGACUGACCAGGUCACAUGCAAGCAUAUGUGCAUGCUUGCAGCAACAAGUUGACCAGCUUUUCUGGCUGCUUGUGGUAUAAAGACUUAUUUUCUGGCAAAUUCUCUACUUCGGACCCCAUUUAUUCAGACAUUUAGACGGUCCCUGCCCCAUGAUGCACUGCCCGUGCAUCAAAGUGCUGUUUUUGGAUUCUCCAUUCAUGUCCCGGUGCUCCAGGGUAGUGUGUCAUGUUCGUUGAAGGAACACGGUAUGUGGUGUACAUGGAGUGGUGGAACAACAGUUCUGUGCUUUUGCGACGAGUAGGGACAACUACGCCACGGUUACGUUACCAUGAAACAACGGACAUCAAAGAAGAAAAAGUGCAUGUGGUGGUGUGGCGCGAGUAGCGAGCGCGAGAGCCGCCAUUCGAUUUGAAGAAGACGAGACUCAUCGAGGGCUGCCAGGAGAAGCGUUGCAGCAACUCGGUCCCAUGGGCGAUUGCUGGCAGCUAUUGGUUCGCUCGGGCGCCCGUGUCCUACAGCUUCAGGCCGGAACUGCCGGUGAGCGCGGGCAGCUACUGGUUCGCUCGACCACCUCCCGUGCGUACAGCCACAGCCUGGUCCCGCGAGCGAUUGCGGGUGGCUACUUGGUCUGUCCAGCCGCCUGGUCCGGAAGUGAAGGUGGGACCUGCCGAAGAGCUCGUGCGACUCCGUGGUCCGUCCCGUCAUUGGGCCAAACUCUCAGUGCGAGUUGGCCGACAAGAGCAGGUGGUUCUGCGUCAAGACCAACUGUCGGAAGACCAGCAGGCACUCACUGCGCCAGCGUCACGUCGGCGUCGUUUCUCCAUGUCUGCACCCCCAUCACCGUGUUCCGAGCUCCUGGGCCCACGAAUCAUCACAGCCUUACUUCGCCACCCACAGAAGCACGCCCCAGAUGGGCGGGAGAUGACGCCCACAAUACGAGUGCGGCUGGAGUGCCCCCGACAACUGCCAUCCCAAUAAUAAGUGGUCCCACCACGUACAGCUUCAGAGGUCCAUUCGAAAAAAGCAGACAGCUCGACUCACCCGAGCUAGGCCCCACGAGCCACCAGCCGGAGGACUCUGCAGAGCCGUUUAAUGUGCUCACACGAUGGUGGACGGGGUGGCAGAGGCGGCUGCGGUUGCCACCAC